rnacentral:rRNA from 1 species
CCUACGGGAGGCAGCAGUAGGGAAUCUUCCACAAUGGACGAAAGUCUGAUGGAGCAACGCCGCGUGAGCGAUGAAGGCCUUCGGGUCGUAAAGCUCUGUUGUUAGGGAAGAACAAGUACCGGAGUAACUGCCGGUACCUUGACGGUACCUAACCAGAAAGCCACGGCUAACUACGUGCCAGCAGCCGCGGUAAUACGUGGGUGGCAAGCGUUGUCCGGAAUUAUUGGGCGUAAAGCGCGCGCAGGCGGUCCUUUAAGUCUGAUGUGAAAGCCCACGGCUCAACCGUGGAGGGUCAUUGGAAACUGGGGGACUUGAGUACUGAAGAGGAAAGUGGAAUUCCACGUGUAGCGGUGAAAUGCGUAGAGAUGUGGAGGAACACCAGUGGCGAAGGCGACUUUCUGGUCUGUAACUGACGCUGAGGCGCGAAAGCGUGGGGAGCAAACAGGAUUAGAUACCCUGGUAGUCCACGCCGUAAACGAUGAGUGCUAAGUGUUAGAGGGUUUCCGCCCUUUAGUGCUGCAGCUAACGCAUUAAGCACUCCGCCUGGGGAGUACGGCCGCAAGGCUGAAACUCAAAGGAAUUGACGG